ACUCCUACGGGAGGCAGCAGUGGGGAAUUUUGGACAAUGGGGGCAACCCUGAUCCAGCAAUGCCGCGUGAGUGAAGAAGGCCUUCGGGUUGUAAAGCUCUUUUGUCAGGGAAGAAACGGUGGUGGCGAAUAACUACUACUAAUGACGGUACCUGAAGAAUAAGCACCGGCUAACUACGUGCCAGCAGCCGCGGUAAUACGUAGGGUGCAAGCGUUAAUCGGAAUUACUGGGCGUAAAGCGUGCGCAGGCGGUUGUGUAAGUCAGAUGUGAAAUCCCCGGGCUCAACCUGGGAAUUGCAUUUGAGACUGCACGGCUAGAGUGUGUCAGAGGGGGGUAGAAUUCCACGUGUAGCAGUGAAAUGCGUAGAUAUGUGGAGGAAUACCGAUGGCGAAGGCAGCCCCCUGGGAUAACACUGACGCUCAUGCACGAAAGCGUGGGGAGCAAACAGGAUUAGAAACCCCAGUAGUCCC
rnacentral:rRNA from 1 species